GUGUCAUGUCAUCCGUUAGAUCCAAGUACUCUAAGUCUUUUCUUAGAGUCUCUUCCAAAGUUUUCCUAGGUCUUCCUCUACCCCUUCGGCCCUGAACCUCUGUCCCGUAGUCACAUCUUCGAACCGGAGUGUCAGUCGGCCUUCUUUGCACAUGUCCAAAUCACCGGAGCCGAUUUUCUCUCAUCUUUCCUACAAUUUCGGCUACUCCUACUUUACCUCGGAUAUCCUCAUUCCCAAUCUUAUCCUUUCUCGUGUGCCCACACAUCCCACGAAGCAUCCUCAUCUCCGCUACACCCAUUUUGUGUACGUGUUGAUGCUUCACCGCCCAACAUUCUGUGCCAUACAACAUCGCUGGCCUUAUUGCCAUCCUAUAAAAUUUUUCCCUUGAGCUUCAGUGGCCUACGACGGUCACACAACACGCCGGAUGCGCUCUUACACUUCAUCCAUCCAGCUCGUAUUCUAUGGUUGAGAUUUCCAUCUAAUUCUCCGUUCUCUUGCAAGAUAGAUCCUAGGUAGCGAAAACGGUCGCUUUUUGUGAUCUUCGCUAGAUUGCUCCGGUCAUUAGUGUGGAUAAGUAUAUAAAUGGAUAGAGAUAGGAAAGCAAACACAAGAUGUACGUGGUUCACCCAGAUUGGCUACGUCCACGGAAUAGAAGAGUUCUCAUUAAUUGUGAAGGGUUUACACAAGUACAUAGGUUCAAGCUCUCCUUUAGUGAGUACAAGUGAAUGAUUUAGUACAAAUGACAUUAGGAAAUAUUGUGGGAGAAUGAUCUCGUAAUCACGAAACUUCUAAGUAUCGGAGUGUGGUGUCGUCUUGACUUGCCUUAUCUGUCUCAUAGGUAGAUGUGGCAUCUUCUCUGGAAGUACUUUUCCUCCAUCCAGGGGUGGUAUCUUUAACUGGUGGAGAUGCACAAGGUAAUGUAUCAAUUUCACUUGAAGCUUACUUGUAGUUUCAGGCUUGGUCAAGCGCGAUACAAACCAUGUAGUAGGAGUCCCCCAAGUCGCCGAGCUAGGGGGUCUGCUGAAAGAGGUGACAGACAAGGUAAGCAAUCAGAGCUCCGACUGAUUGUUCACCUUCUCCCCAUCUUGCAACAGCAUGAAGGAUAAAGAGAAGAAAAAUGAGAAGAGAUGAUAUGAGAUACUUUUGCUUUUGAAGAAGUAACUUUCCACAGGCUUAUUCUUGAACUGAGCUGGAGGGUUUUCUGGUUUCCUCCAGAGUAUAAGGCCGACUGAAGAAUUUGAGGGUCAAAACAAGUCCAUCAAAUCUAGAGUACGUUCCACCCUGCUGAUAUGGGAUACUUUUGCUUUUGACAGAGUAAUGGAUGUAUCGACACGUGUGUUGUUACGCUUGUCUCCACAUGCUUCCUUGUAUCCUUCGCACUUGCCCUAUCUGUUCCUCAAGCAGAUGCGGAAUCUUCCUUGGAAACAUAAGAUGUUGAAGAUGAGUACUCGAGAGCAAUGCCAGGUAAGUAAUCAGGUAAGGGGUUCCAGGCAGUCAGUUCCUGGCUGGAAGCUUGAUUCCAAGUGCUGACUGAUUGCUCUCUUUCUCCUUGUCUUGCAGGUAAAAACAAGGCCAAAGGAAAAGAUAGGGAAAAAGCAUGAUAUGGGAUACUCUUGCUUUUAACCCUGAUGAUAUGAGAUAUUCUUGCUCUAGUAUAGCUUGUUUGCAGAGGUAUUAUCGGGGGGAAAGAAAGCUGAAUAUUUCGAAAGGCUUCGUUGGGAGUGCCCUCUCAGAUAUGAUGAAGGGUUGAGCAUUUUUGCAGGUCUGCCUGUCCGUUGGGGAUGGAGGUUGACAUAUAUAGGCGUCUCCCUAACAACAAGUAGUAAUGCUAUUCCUUUACCCUGCUUGGUCAUAGCACGGUAGUGGGAGCUGUCAGUUUCACAUGUUUUAACUCUGUCAGAGCACUUUGAAAAAGUGGUCUGUGGUAUCUGGCUCUCGAGAUUCGGAGAACGAUGCCUCUUCGAUUUUUGAGAAAGCAAUCAUGCUGGGGGUCUGGCUCUCGAGAUUCGGAGGGCGGUGCCUCUUCGAUUUUGGAGCAAGCAAUCUUGUUGGGAGUGUUUGUCUCGAAUUUGAGUAAAGGUUGGGCAUGUUUGCUAGUCUACCUUGCCACGAAGCACAAAGGUUGACACACAGGGACUUUCCAAUUAUCCAGCAAUGGUACUGUUCCUUUACCCUCUCUUCGAUUUUGAGAAAGUAGUCAUGUUGGGAGAGUCUGGCUCUCGAGAUUCGGAGGACGGUGCCUCUUCGAUUUUGGAGCAAGCAAUCUUGUUGGGAGUGUUUUCUCGAAUGUGAGUAAAGGUUGGGCAUGUUUGCUAGUCUACCUUGCCACGAAGCACAGAGGUUGACACACAGGGACUUUCCAAUUAUCCAGCAGUGGUACUGUUCCUUUACCCUUGUGGGUAAUAUUAUGGUAGCUAGACCUUCAAAAUUUAUGUGUCUAAACUUUUGUUAGUGCUGUUUCUUUGCUAUUCUUUUACCUUUCUUGGUCAGAGCGAUGUAGUGGGAGCUGCAAGCUUCACGUGCUCAACUUUGGCAGAGAACUUUGACAAAGUUAUCUGUGGUACCCAUGAGCUAUUGUUGCGUGUGGGAAGUGGGUAAUUGAACAGUAAGAUUCAUGUGCUUUCUACUUCACUAGAAAUCUUCGACAGAAUGCCCAUAAUUUCUGCAAAGCUGAGUGUGCGUGUGACAGGUGCUGACAAGGCUAGAAAAGUAGGUGCCUCUUCGAUUUCUGAGAUCGGCCCUCGUGGUCUCUGAGCAGCCCAGCUUUUGAGAAAGCGAGCGCCUCUUCGAUUGAUUCGGAGAACGAUGCCUCAUCGAUUUUUGAGAAAACAAUCAUGCUGGGGGUUUGGCUCUCGAAGAUUCGGGGAGCAGUGUCUCUUCGAUUUUUUGAGAAAGUAAUCAUGUUGGGAGUCUGGCUCUCGAGAUUCGGAAGGCGGUGCCUCUUCGAUUUUGGAGCAAGCAAUCUUGUUGGGAGUGUUUUUCUCGAAUGUGAGUAAAGGUUGGGCAUGUUUGCUAGUCUACCUUGCCACGAAGCACAGAGGUUGACACACAGGGACUUUCCAAUUAUCCAGCAGUGGUACUGUUCCUUUACCCUUGUGGGUAAUAAUAUGGUAGCUAGACCUUCAAAAUUUAUGGGUCUAAACUUUGUUAGUGCUGUUUCUUUGCUAUUCUUUUACCCUUCUUGGUCAGAGCGAUGUAGUGGGAGCUGCAAGCUUCACGUGCUCAACUUUGGCAGAGAAACUUUGGCAAAGUUAUCUGUGGUACCCAUGAGCUAUUGUUGCGUGUGGGAAGUGGGUGAUUGAACAGUAAGAUUCAUGUGUUUUCUACUUCCCCAGAAGUCUUCGACAGAAUGCCCAUAAUUUCCGCAAAGCUGAGUGUGCGUGUGACAGGUGCUGACAAGGCUGGAAAAAUAGGUGCCUCUUCGAUUUCUGAGAUUGGCCCUCGUGGUCUCUGGGGAGCCCAGCUUUUGAGAAAGCGAGCGCCUCUUCGAUUUCUGAGAUCGGCCUUCGUGGUCUUUGAGCAGCCCAACUUUUGAGAAAGCAAAAGCCUCUUCGAUUUCUGAGAUCAACCCUCGUGAUCUCUAAGCAGCUCAGCUUUUGAGAAAGCAAACGCCUCUUCGAUUUCUGAGCAGGCGCCUCUUCGAUUUCUGAAGCUCCGUCGAGUGCAGAUUUUUAUAGGGGCUGGCAUUAAGUUCUAAAGCACACUUGAAUCUCCACCAGUAGAAGCUUCAUUCUUGCACUUCUAAGAUCUUGAUUUGUCCGACCUCUUCUCUCUUCAAACACCUUUGAAAAUGUCUGGCCCCUCCGACCGUCGUUUUGACUUGAACCUUGUUGAAGAGGCAGCCCCGCCUUCUCCAGACAACAUAUGGCGCCCAUCCUUCGUCUCCCCUACUGGUCCUCUUACCGUUGGGGAUUCCGUGAUGAAGAAUGAUAUGGCCGCUGCGGUGGUGGCCAGGAACCUUCUCACUCCCAAAGAUAACAGACUACUUUCCAAACGGUCUGAUGAGUUAGCUGUUAAGGAUUCGCUGGCUCUCAGUGUUCAGUGUGCAGGUUCUGUGUCUAAUAUGGCCCAACGCCUAUUUGCUCGAACCCGCCAAGUUGAAUCAUUGGCGGCUGAAGUGAUGAGUCUCAAACAGGAGAUUAGAGGGCUCAAGCAUGAGAAUAAACAGUUGCACCGGCUCGCACAUGACUAUGCUACAAACAUGAAGAGGAAGCUUGACCAGAUGAAGGAAACUGAUGGUCAGGUUUUUACUUGAUCAUCAGAGAUUUGUGGGUUUGUUCCAAAGGCAUUUAUUGCCUUCGUCUUCUGGGGCUGUACCGCGUAAUGAAGCUCCAAAUGAUCAACCUCUGAUGCCUCCUCCUUCUAGGGUUCUGUCCAGUACUGAGGCUCCAAAUGAUCCCCCUCCGGUGCCUUCUCUUUCUGGGGCUCUACCGACUGCUGAGACUUCUCCUAAGCAACCUUUGUGAAGGCUCCCUCUUGUGUGUUUAUUUUGACUCAUGUAUAUGUACAUAUUUGUAGCUUAUCGGGGAUAUCAAUAAAUAAGCUUUCCUUCAUUUCAACGUAUUGUGUUAAAUACACCAAAGCCUUCUUCGCUAAGUUCUUUGAAUUUUCUUUUGUUGAAGCUUGUAUGUUGAAGCUUUCUGAGUGGAGCAUGUAGGUUGGGGUAGUGUUCCCUUAAUUUCCCGAGUGAGGAAAACUUCUCGGUUGGAGACUUGGAAAAUCCAAGUCACUGAGUGGGAUCGGCUAUAUGAAUCUUAGAACGCCAUUGUGCUCGAUCCUGUGUCAUGUCCUUCGUUAGAUCCAAGUACUCUAAGUCUUUUCUUAGAGUCUCUUCCAAAGUUUUCCUAGGUCUUCCUCUACCCCUUCGGCCCUGAACCUCUGUCCCAUAGUCGCAUCUUCUAAUUGGAGCGUCAGUAGGCCUUCUUUGCACAUGUCCAAACCACCGUAACCGAUUUUCUCUCAUCUUUCCUUCAAUUUCGGCUACUCCUACUUUACCCCGGAUAUCCUCAUUCCUAAUCUUAUCCUUUCUCGUGUGCCCCACACAUCCAACGAAGCAUCCUCAUCUCCGCUACACCCAUUUUGUGUACGUGUUGAUGUUUCACCGCCCAACAUUCUGUGCCAUACAGCAUCGCCGGC
rnacentral:lncRNA from 1 species